UGCUGCCCGUGGCCCUGCGGCUGCUGCACUGAGUGCCCGGUACCGCCUGCUGCUCUGGGAGGAUGCGGGAGCUGUGCUGGGGGACAGCCUGGGCACCCCUCCUGCUACCCCCGGUGCCACCGUCACUGCGGCGUGGGAGCUGAGCCGUGCACUCUCUGUUGCCCGUGUGCCCCCUGAGUGCCAGGAGGAGCUGGGGGGACUCUGCCUGCGCCUGCUGUGCCGGAGCGUCCUCUGCAGCUGGGACACGGAUUUUACCCGUGCUCUGGGCUCAGGGCUGUCAGACAAGUGCUUGGAGGCCCCAGGGGGACCUCCAGGGCCGGGGUGCAGCCGCACGGCCCA